UACGUAGGGGGCAAGCGUUGUCCGGAAUCAUUGGGCGUAAAGCGCGUGUAGGCGGUCCGGUAAGUCCGCUGUGAAAGUCGGGGGCUUAACCCUCGGAUGCCGGUGGAUACUGUCGGGCUUGAGUACGGAAGAGGCGAGUGGAAUUCCUGGUGUAGCGGUGAAAUGCGCAGAUAUCAGGAGGAACACCAAUGCGAAGGCAGCUCGCUGGGACGUUACUGACGCUGAGACGCGAAAGCGUGGGGAGCGAACAGG
rnacentral:rRNA from 1 species